GAUAUACCUAAUGUUAAAUGACGAGUUAACAGGUGCAGCCAGCAACAUGGCACAUGUAUACAUAUGUAACUAACCUGCACGUUGUGCACAUGUACCCUAAAACUUAAAGUAUAAUUUAAAAAAAAAAGAAAAAGUUGUUAGAUUUUAAAAUUAUUUUAGGAUAUUUUCUUAUAAGAGAAUGCACUUAUUUUUCUUUGAGAUUGCAGCUAUUUUCGUUUGAUCUAGAAUCUUCUCAUUCUUUUGAUUUUUAAUUUUAUUGUUAGUAGAUUAUAAAGAAUGGGAUAUUAGAGAUUUUUCUUUAAAAAUGAACCUAUAUAAAUUUUAUUUAUUUAUUUUCUUAAAGAUAGGGUCUCACUCUGUUGUCCAGCUGGAGUGUAAUGGCAGUCAUAGCUCAUUACAGCUUCAAAUUGCUGGGUUCCAGGGGAUCCUCCUACCUCAGCCUCCUGAGUAGCUGGGAUUACAGGUGCAAGCCACCACACCCAGCUGAUUUUCAAUUUUUUGGUAGAGAUGGAGUCUCACUAUAUUGCCCAGACUGGUCUCGAACUCCUGGCCUCAAGUGAUCCCCAUUGGCUUCCCAAAGUGCUAGGAUUACAAGCAUGAGACAGGCUUCCUUUUUUUCCUUUUUUUUAAAAGCAGUUAUCUGAUAUCCAUCACCUUGUUUAUUUGACCCUGCUUUUAAAAAAUAAAUAUAUAAAAGUAAAUACAAAUUAGAGAUUUGUUAGAUUGGUAUUUCCAGUGGUUUUUUAAAAACAUUAAUUGCAAAAUUCCUGACGCUUACCACAUUUUAGAGCCAGGAGUUCUUAAUCUGGGCUGAGUGAACUCCUGGGGGAGGGGGGUAGUAUGUUCUGAAGAGAUGAGCCAUAACUUUCAUCAUAUUCUCCCAGGGGGCCACAAGAUGGAAAAAUAAAGAACCACUAUUUUAGAGCAUUUGGAUCAAGCUAUGUAAUAACUCAUUUGUCUGUGUUAAAGGCAUUUCUCAUUGCAAUUGUGGUACCAGAUGUUGAGACAUUAUGUUCCUGGGCCCAAAAGAGAGGAUUUGAAGGGUCGUUUGAGGAACUGUGCAGAAAUAAGGAUGUCAAAAAAGCUGUCCUCGAAGAUAUGGUGAGACUUGGGAAGGAUUCUGGUCUGAAACCAUUUGAACAGGUCAAAGGCAUCACAUUGCACCCUGAAUUAUUUUCUAUCGACAAUGGCCUUCUGACUCCAACAAUGAAGGCGAAAAGGCCAGAGAUGCGGAACUAUUUCAGGUCGCAGAUAGAUGAACUCUAUUCCACUAUCAAGGUUUAGUGUGAAGAAGAAAGCUCAGAGGAAAUGGCACAGUUCCACAAUCUCUUCUCCUGCUGAUGGCCUUCAUGUUGUUAAUUUUGAAUACAGCAAGUGUAGGGAAGGAAGCGUUCGUGUUUGACUUGUCCAUUCGGGGUUCUUCUCAUAGGAAUGCUAGAGGAAACAGAACACUGCCUUACAGUCACCUCGUGUUGCAGACCAUGUUUAUGGUAAUACACACUUUCCAAAAUGAGCCUUAAAAAUUGUAAAGGGUAUACUAUAAAUGUGCUAAGUUAUUUGAGACUUCCUCAGUUUAAAAAGUGGGGUUUAAAUCUUCUGUCUCCCUGUUUUUCUAAUCAAGGGGUUAGGACUUUGCUAUCUCUGAGAUGUCUGCUACUUGCUGCAAAUUCUGCAGCUGUCUGCUGCUCUAAAGAGUACAGUGCACUAGAGGGAAGUGUUCCCUUUAAAAAUAAGAACAACUGUCCUGGCUGGAGAAUCUCACAAGCGGACCAGAGAUCUUUUUAAAUCCCUGCUACUGUCCCUUCUCACAGGCAUUCACAGAACCCUUCUGAUUCGUAAGGGUUACGAAACUCAUGUUCUUCUCCAGUCCCCCGUGGUUUCUGUUGGAGCAUAAGGUUUCCAGUAAGCGGGAGGGCAGAUCCAACUCAGAACCAUGCAGAUAAGGAGCCUCUGGCAAAUGGGUGCUCAUCAGAACGCGUGGAUUCUCUUUCAUGGCAGAAUGCUCUUGGACUCGGUUCUCCAGGCCUGAUUCCCCCACUCCAUCCUUUUUCAGGGGUUAUUUAAAAAUCUGCCUUAGAUUCUAUAGUGAAGACAAGCAUUUCAAGAAAGAGUUACCUGGAUCAGCCGUGCUCAGCUGUGACGCCUGAAUAACUGUCUACUUUAUCUUCACUGAACCACUCACUCUGUGUAAAGGCCAACAGAUUUUUAAUGUGGUUUUCAUAUCAAAAGAUCAUGUUGGGAUUAACUUGCCUUUUUCCCCAAAAAAUAAACUCUCAGGCAAGCAUUUCUUUAAAGCUAUUAAGGGAGUAUAUACUUGAGUACUUAUUGAAAUGGACAGUAAUAAGCAAAUGUUCUUAUAAUGCUACCUGAUUUCUAUGAAAUGUGUUUGACAAGCCAAAAUUCUAGGAUGUAGAAAUCUGGAAAGUUCAUUUCCUGGGAUUCACUUCUCCAGGGAUUUUUUUGAAGUUAAUUUGGGAAAUUAACAGCAGUUCACUUUAUUGUGAGUCUUUGCCACAUUUGACUGAAUUGAGCUGUCAUUUGUACAUUUAAAGCAGCUGUUUUGGGGUCUGUGAGAGUACAUGUAUUAUAUACAAGCACAACAGGGCUUGCACUAAAGAAUUGUCAUUGUAAUAACACUAUUUGGUAGCCUAACUUCAUAUAUGUAUUCUUAAUUGCACAAAAAGUCAAUAAUUUGUCACCUUGGGGUUUCGAAUGUUUGCUUUAAGUGUUGGCUAUUUUUAUGUUUUAUAAACCAAAACAAAAUUUCCAAAAACAAUGAAGGAAACCAAAAUAAAUAUUUCUGCAUUUCA
rnacentral:sRNA from 1 species